AUGGGAGUUCAGGCAGAUCGAAGACCUCCGGGGGGUCUGGAUGGCCUCUAUGGGGUACAACUUGCGGGUCGGUCACCGUAUAGUGAUGAUGAAGCUAUCAAAACAAGCAUUAUGGAUUCGUCAGCUAUGGAGCAGCAGGGGGGUGUCGGCAUGACUCGAAGUUUGAAGAUCAAGCAACUCUGGCGACAGAGACCCCCAUGCCUGAAGCCUAUUCACUGUAGUCUCUCAUGUGAUAAAAAUGUAGCUGAAACUGUUGCUAAUGUCGUCACUUCACUUCCUUUCAUCUUUCUUGGACUGCAGACACCAAGAAAGACCUUGAAUACUACACUUUAUGCUAACUCACUAAUUGGAGUUGGAGUUGCAUCUAGCUUGUAUCAUACUUCACGAGGAGAAAUCAGAAAAUACAUGCGGUGGGCAGACUACACAAUGAUCGCCACCACAACACUGUGCCUAACAAGAGCGCUUCGGGAUGAACAUCCAAGAUUACUAAUGGCGGCAUCAACGUUGCUCCUGCCAUUCCAGCCCUUGAUGGUCACAGCCCUUCACACUGGGAUGAUGGAGGUUUCAUUUGCGAAACGAGCAUCGACAGAACCAGAGCUCAAGACGGCACAUAACCUCCACAGGAUGUCGUCUCUGCUGGGUGGUGCGCUGUUCAUCGCCGAUGAUGUCUUCCCGCAGACCCCCUACAUCCAUGCGGCAUGGCAUCUAGCCGCAGCGUUAGGCGUCUGCACAUGCAACAAACUCCUUGAAUGA
rnacentral:rRNA from 1 species